UCGGGAAUUUUGGGCAAUGGGCGAAAGCCUGACCCAGCAACGCCGCGUGAAGGAUGAAGUAUUUCGGUAUGUAAACUUCGAAAGAAUAGGAAGAAUAAAUGACGGUACUAUUUAUAAGCUCCGGCUAACUACGUGCCAGCAGCCGCGGUAAUACGUAGGGAGCAAGCGUUGUUCGGAUUUACUGGGCGUAAAGGGCGCGUAGGCGGCGCGGUAAGUCACUUGUGAAAUCUCUGAGCUUAACUCAGAACGGCCAAGUGAUACUGCAGUGCUAGAGUGCAGAAGGGGCAAUCGGAAUUCUUGGUGUAGCGGUGAAAUGCGUAGAUAUCAAGAGGAACACCUGAGGUGAAGACGGGUUGCUGGGCUGACACUGACGCUGAGGCGCGAAAGCUAGGGGAGCAAACGGGAUUAGAUACCCCUGUAGUCCCUGAGCGGGCUGGCAAGGCGCAU
rnacentral:rRNA from 1 species